AGCAGCCGCGGUAAUUCCAGCUCCAAUAGCGUAUAUUAAAGUUGUUGCAGUUAAAAGCUCGUAGUUGAAUUUCGGGAUCAAUAUGUCGGUCGUGCCUCCGGUACGUACUGGCAUCAUUGAUUUCUCCCUUCUGACGAACCAUGAUGUCAUUAAUUUGGUGUCAUGGGGAGUCAGGACUGUUACUUUGAAAAAUUGAGUGUUAAAGCAGGCUCACGCUUGAAUACAUUAGCAUGGAAUAAUGAAAUAGGACGUUUGACCCUAUUUUGUGGUUUCUAGGAUCGACGUAAUGAUUAAUAGGGAUAGUUGGGGCAUUAGUAUUCAAUUGUCAGAGGUGAAAUUC
rnacentral:rRNA from 1 species